GCGAGCUCGUCUCGACGACAGCAGCAAACGCCACUGGUGACAGUGAGUCACUGAGCUGAGGGGAGAGAAAAUUCCAUUUAUACUCCCCAAAUCUAUUUUUCCAGGUUCUCCCUGCACUGCUAACUUUCUCCUCCUGUAAAUUCUUUACCCACGCGAGCCCACCCGGCUCAGCUCUGCCCCACGGCCCCCGCUCCCCAAAAGGGCUCCGCAGCCCCCUCUGUGCCGCGGUGCAGCAGCCACCUGAGCGCACACAGCCCCGGGGGUUCAGCUCGCUGCCCACCAGCCUUUUCCCCCAGCGCUGUGGGAAGUAUUUCACCAGCCACCUGCCCUGGGGGGCUUCCCAGGGGGAGCAGAGCCACCAGCAAGCGGCUGGGGGGGGACAGCGGGGAGAGCGCAGGGCGCGCACCGACCACCGCCUCCCGGUGCCUUCCUCCCCAGCGCGCUGCCCGGCGCUCCCCAGCGAUGCCUCCGAGUACGAAACAGAAAUAAACCGGGCGGGGAGCCGGCCUCCGAGUGCUUCCCCACGCGGAGAAAUCCCUGCUCUGAGAGCCCCACGCGGUUCCUUCCCGCGGGAGGUGCGGGGAGGUGGCGGCGUCCCCCCGUCCCCUACGUCGGGGCCACCGGGCGGGCACCGGGCGCGUCCCGUCGGGGCUGGCGGCCACCGGGGCGGGACGCGGCGGGGCUCGGGGAUCCCGAGGAGGGCAGCGCCGCUCCCUGCCGGCUCCGGGAGACACCCGGAGGGGGGAGACUCCCGGUGCCCGUCCCGUCGGGGCAGCCCCAUCCCCGCGUCCCCGGCUCCUCCGCAGGUGUCGGGCGGGCAGCCCGCAUCCCCCGGCCGGAGCACGGAGCCUUCGCGGCUCCCUGAGCGCUGCUCACCUGCCUCCGAGACAAUGCCGAGCCAGAGCCAGAGGGGCAGCGUGCAAACUCUCUUCAUCUCCGGGGCUGCGGGCAGGCGGUGCGGUGCGGAGCGGUGCGGAGCGCCCCGCGCCCGAGCUCUGCUCCCGCCGCGCCCCAGCUGCGGCGACGCGCGGCGGCGGGCGGGGAGGGAGCACCGGGGCCGUUUCCUUUUCCUCCGCCCGCCCGGGCCGCCCGCCGCCCUCCGCCGAGCCCGCGGGGCGCCGGGCGGGCGGCGGGGCGGAGCGGGGCGGGGCGGGGUGGGAGGCGG
rnacentral:lncRNA from 1 species